rnacentral:rRNA from 1 species
UACGGGAGGCAGCAGUGGGGAAUACUGCACAAUGGGCGCAAGCCUGAUGCAGCCAUGCCGCGUGUAUGAAAAAGGCCUUCGGGUUGUAAAGUACUUUCAGUCGUGAGGAAGGUGUUAAGGUUAAUAACCUUAGCAAUUGACGUUAGCGACAGAAGAAGCACCGGCUAACUCCGUGCCAGCAGCCGCGGUAAUACGGAGGGUGCGAGCGUUAAUCGGAAUUACUGGGCGUAAAGGGCACGCAGGCGGUUAAUUAAGUUGGAUGUGAAAUCCCCGGGCUUAACCUGGGAAUGGCAUUCAAGACUGGUUAGCUAGAGUCUUGUAGAGGGGGUAGAAUUCCAUGUGUAGCGGUGAAUGCGUAGAGAUGUGGAGGAAUACCGGUGGCGAAGGCGGCCCCUGGACAAAGACUGACGCUCAUGUGCGAAAGCGUGGGGAGCAAACAGGGAUUAGAUACC